GACUCUAAUGCAUCUAAGCUGGUAGGAAUUUUAAAUCCAGGCAGGUGCAGCUCCGAGGCACAGAAAAAUGCGGUAGGUCGUGCACGCUGCCAAGAAGCAGGGAUUUCACUUAGGGUUCAGGAUCUGCGCCCAGAAAGAACUGAAAAGUGAAGCCCUCUUCAUGCCUGUGACGUCUGUGACUCGAGACCACCUUUCCCUCCUGUCCAAGAGAAACGUGAGGAUGUUUUCCACAAGGCAGGAAGGAGGCAGCAGAGAGGCUCAAAUGGCCCAGUGAAAACACGACUUUUAAUUAAAAAGAAAUGUUCCCGCCACUGCCUCCACCAGUGCUGCAAACGUCCUUGCGACGAGGGCUCAUUGUGCACAAGAGAAUUAAAAUAUCCGCUUUAAGAGAAGGAAAAUCAUCUUCUGAUCAAAACACCUGUAUUUGAGUUGGGUAAAAAUUCAAGAUCAGUGCAUCUAAAGGACACAUUCAGCUUGCACCCGCAUACUCCGCCUUUUCUCCUGUUUCGACAGACAGCCUCUCUCUGCUCCGAACUAAGGCCAAGCUCAGCAUUUGUGCACUACGUCCCAUCCCCUCUUACUGAGUAUGUGGCUCCAGCAGUUUGCCCUGUCUCCUUCUUUCUCAGCUUUUUCUUCUCUGUGGGUUACAUCCAUGAGCAUCAAAAUGUUCUUAUUUCUCCCAUUCUAAAUAAACCUCCUUUUAAAAUUACUUUUACCAUCAGCUACUGCCCUG
rnacentral:lncRNA from 1 species